CACGUAUUUAGCCGUCGCUUCUUCUGCAGGUACCGUCAUUUUUUUCUUCCCUGCUGAAAGCACUUUACAAUCCGAAGACCUUCAUCGUGCACACAGAAUUGCUGGAUCAGGGUUGCCCCCAUUGUCCAAUAUUCCCCACUGCUGCCUCCCGUAGGAGUAAGGGCCGUAUCUCAGUCCCCUUGUGGCCGUCCACCCUCUCAGGCCGGCUACCUAUCAUCGCCUUGGUGGGCCGUUACCCCACCAACAAGCUAAUAGGACGCAAGGCUCUCCUGCAGCAUUCCUUUUCAUCAGGCUGGACAUGGGUCCGCCUGACUUUAUCAGGUUUUAUCAGUCGUUUCCGUCUGUUAUCCCUGACUGCAGGGCAAGUCCCUUACGCCUUACUCACCCGUCCGCCUUGGCUAGGCUGUGCAAGCACAGCUUCGCCAAAGACUUGCAUGUGUUAAGCAUUCUGUCAGCGUUCAUCCUGAGCCAGGAUCAAACUCU
rnacentral:rRNA from 1 species